AACGCACAUUGCGCCCUUUGGUAUUCCGAAGGGCAUGCCUGUUCGAGCGUCAUUAACACCCCUCAAGCCUGGCUUGUCGUUGGACUGGGUCUGGAUAACUCCUUGACCCGUCCCAAAGAUAAUGACGGCGUCCGUGGGACCCUCGGUGCAAUGAGCUUUUCCAAGCACGCAUCGAGUUGCAAGGUCUCUCGGCACGGUCUAUAACCUCUAUAUUUCUAAGGUUGACCUCGGAUCAGGUAGGAAUACCCGCUGAACUUAA
rnacentral:misc_RNA from 1 species